GACGAACCGUGCAAACGUUGUUCGGAAUCACUGGGCUUAAAGGGCGCGUAGGCGGGCGGUCAAGUCAGGGGUGAAAGCCCCCAGCUCAACUGGGGAAGUGCCUUUGAUACUGGCCGUCUAGAGGGAGGUAGGGGCAUGCGGAACUUCCGGUGGAGCGGUGAAAUGCGUAGAUAUCGGGAGGAACACCAGUGGCGAAGGCGAUCUUCUGGACGGAUACUGACGCUGAGGCGCGAAAGCUAGAGGAGCAAACGGG
rnacentral:rRNA from 1 species